GAUGAACGCUGGCGGCGUGCCUAAUACAUGCAAGUCGAGCGAACAGACGAGGAGCUUGCUCCUCUGACGUUAGCGGCGGACGGGUGAGUAACACGUGGAUAACCUACCUAUAAGACUGGGAUAACUUCGGGAAACCGGAGCUAAUACCGGAUAAUAUAUUGAACCGCAUGGUUCAAUAGUGAAAGACGGUUUUGCUGUCACUUAUAGAUGGACCCGCGCCGCAUUAGCUAGUUGGUAAGGUAACGGCUUACCAAGGCAACGAUGCGUAGCCGACCUGAGAGAGUGAUCGGCCACACUGGAACGGAGACACGGUCCAGACUCCUACGGGAGGCAGCAGGAGGGAAUCUUCCGCAAUGGGCGAAAGCUUGACGGAGCAACGCCGCGUGAGUGAUGAAGGUCUUCGGAUCGUAAAACUCUGUUAUUAGGGAAGAACAAAUGUGUAAGUAACUAUGCACGUCUUGACGGUACCGAAGCAGAAAGCCACGGCUAACUACGU
rnacentral:rRNA from 1 species